rnacentral:rRNA from 1 species
UGAGCAACCUGCCCUUGACCCUGGAAUAACAGCUGGAAACAGCUGCUAAUACCGGAUAUGACCUCCGAUGGCAUCAUCUGGAGGUGGAAAGCUCCGACGGUCAAGGAUGGGCUCGCGGCCUAUCAGCUUGUUGGUGAGGUAACGGCUCACCAAGGCUUCGACGGGUAGCUGGUCUGAGAGGAUGGCCAGCCAUAUUGGGACUGAGACACCGGCA